CACCAGUCCUCAAAACAUUGCAGCAUGUCACAAGUGGCAGAGCAAAGAGAGAGGAAGUAACUGGACCAGAGUCACCUAACUGUUAAGUCACAGAGCAGCAAAGCAGUACAGGUAUGUAACCUAGCUACCAUGUGCAUAACUGAAAACCUGAGGCUGCUAGUAAAAGAAAAGGACUAUUUGAUCUUAAAGCAAGAACUAUGAAGACAAAGUGAAGAAAGGAAGGAAAAUCCAUGAUAACACAUCAUAUAUCAUAAGACACCGGCUUCUGAACCAAAGGACCAUGCCAGUCACUGUGACUCUAGACAGAGAACGAAGAAGUCCUCUACGAGCCCCAUGGGUUUACAGAAGUCUAUCAAUUUCUCUGUCCAUCUUCCGGAUCAUUAUCCAAGUUACUAUCCCCAAUUUCGCUGGAUAUACAAGAUCUAGUCCAGCUCCAUAGAACAUUUUUCUUCCUAAUGGAUUGCGAAUUUGUUUUCUUUAAAUUAUCUUUGAGCUAAUAUGCUACUCAAAAAAGUAGUAGGAAUGUCAACAUCGCCCGUGUUGGUCCUGUGUAUGUGUUUAUAUGUCUACCUCACCACCCUUGUACUAUGACUGCCACACAAGAACUUAAAGCUGUUCAUGGAACUAUUAGCAAAA